rnacentral:rRNA from 1 species
AGUAACGCGUAGGUAACCUGCCUGGUAGCGGGGGAUAACUAUUGGAAACGAUAGCUAAUACCGCAUAAUAGCAGUUAUUGCAUGAUAACUGUUUGAAAGGUGCAAUUGCACCACUACCAGAUGGACCUGCGUUGUAUUAGCUAGUUGGUGGGGUAACGGCUCACCAAGGCGACGAUACAUAGCCGACCCGAGAGGGUGAUCGGCCACACUGGGACUGAGACACGGCCCAG